GGAGAUUGAGGCAGAAAAAGAGUUUGUAAUAGUCAAGGCAUUUUGACUGAAAUGCAGAGAAACCUGAAUUCGAAGAACUGCCUUUUAGUGAUUGUGUCCAAUGAUACUUGAAAAUACCCGGAACAAAUGCAUAGAAAAACUCAGCGUUCUGCUUAAAAAUGAAGAAGUCGUGACACCUAGCGCAAAUCUCUGAUGCUCAUGGGACUGUUCCAAGUUCAACAAAAUUUCAUUUUCUGAAGAUUAUAAGAUUCCUCCAACUCCAGUCAAGAUCUUGAGCCAGAGGGAGGUCCAGUUUGCAUAAAACUAAAGCGCUGCCACAGGCA